CCAAGGCAUGCUUACAACCAAAGCAUUCCACGACCAUGUGAUCCAGGAGAAUUCCAGGGUCAAGAGCCAGGGUAUUGGAAGCCAACCUGUCUACAGGUGACCAGCACUGAACUUACUUUGGGAAACACUGUUCUAGGGUAAGAGGUAUCACGUGUUUUUUGGGGGGAGAUCUUUUCAUGACUGAAAGACUCAAAAGGCCAUUUUUAUCCUCUGCGGAUAAACUAAACAGGCCUCAAGAAUGUGACCUCCCACGCUCCUCCAUGAACAGCUCUCUCCCUGCGUCCCAGCAACCAAAGACACUUGUUGAUUUGGGAAAAACCCAGGGGAAGGAUUCUGUCUGGAUUUUCUGGUACCACUGACCCAUUUUCACCCAGGCACAUUCAUCUGGUUCAAGACUGAAUCUUUCCCUUUUUCAUGAAACAGAUUCUCCCCCUCUUUUAAGCCUCUGUGGGCUCCAGAAUGAGUUGAACCGCUGUAUCUUCUCAUCACAGCGUUUCCCUCUUUGGACAUGGGCUGAGACACACAGAUUUCACGACUUCCUCUUUGGAGAAGGCAUGAAAGGACCUGCAGCCACGGCCCCAUACGUUUCAAGAGAGGCAAGGCUUUCACCCUCCGUGUCUUUCACAGCCAUCCGCCCACAGCCUCUUAACUUCCUGACAUUAAACAAAAAUGAAACCGAGGUUUCCCUUAUUGGGGAUCAUCAUCAAGAAUCUGUCAUGGGGUCUCUUAGAAAUUAAUUCAACUCGAUUGUUCUUCAGACCUCCGCUAAGGAGCCGGCGUGUUACUCUCGACACCAGCUUGUCCCAUCUUCAUCCUAUAUUAGCUCCCUAACAAGGUUGCGCGAUCAGCUCCUAGCCUGCAAAUUAGAAAAAUGGGCGAUGAUUCCAGCAGCUACGCCUCGGCACUCUCCCGCCGGAUUACUGUGAUGGUCUCCUUGCAAGGCUUCCAGAUCUUUCUAUGUGGGUUGAAAUUGGUUCCAAAUGUAACUUCCUGUUGAUCUCCCUCCCUGAAUUCCCUCAUUGAUGCAACAUUUUGUUAAAAAAGAACUUCACUGAAUUACCCAUUUCAUGGAAAUUGCAAUAGGGUAUUGACUUGUAUAGUUAAUGAAGCUUUCAAAAAAGUACUCCUGUAGCCGUCAUCUAAAUGCCCCUCUGGCCACCAAAAUUGUGCAUGUAAUUCACUGUAGUGAGGAUACCUGAGUCUCCCUAAGGGAGAUCCACUAGGAUCAGUUCUGGGUGGGAUCCGUCAGCAAACACAACGUAUUGCCCGCCUCCUUCUGGUUUCCAGUCCCGCCUGGAGUGGGCACCAAGCUGACUUCGCUGGGGCUCUCCCGGCCCCACAUACCUGCAAUGGUUUUGCCUUUAGCUCGAUGUCUGAAGCCUUUGCAUUUCUGAAGGGAGUGAUAUAAAUCAAGCCAUGCUUAUGAUUAAAAACAUCCAA
rnacentral:lncRNA from 1 species